GUUGUGCAAAGGUAGCAUAAUCAUUAGUCUUGUAAUUUAGGACUGGAAUGAAUGGNUUAACUAAAUAAUCAUGUCUCAUUAUUAUACUUCAAAUUUCAUAUUUUAGUAAAAAGGCUAAAAUUCAUUUUAAAGACAAGAAGACCCUAUUAAGCUUUAUAAUUCUAACUUAACUAUCAACAUAAAUUAAAAAUUAUUUUACUGGGGCAGUAUAUAAAUAAAAUUUUAUUUUAGUAAUAUGAAUUUAAUUCUUGAAAAACCAAAAAAUUCUUAAANAAGAAUAAGUUACUAUAGGGAUAACAGCAUAAUUGNCUUUAAGAGUUCUUAUCAUCAAGAAAGUUUGNGACCUCGAUGGGGAUUAAGAUACCUAUUUCAUGCAAUAAUAAANNAAGGAAGUCGC
rnacentral:rRNA from 1 species